rnacentral:rRNA from 1 species
CCUACGGGAGGCAGCAGUGGGGAAUAUUGGACAAUGGGCGCAAGCCUGAUCCAGCCAUACCGCGUGUGUGAAGAAGGUCUUCGGAUUGUAAAGCACUUUAAGUUGGGAGGAAGGGCAGUAACCUAAUACGUUAUUGUUUUGACGUUACCGACAGAAUAAGCACCGGCUAACUCUGUGCCAGCAGCCGCGGUAAU